GAUGAACGCUGGCGGCGUGCCUAAUACAUGCAAGUCGAACGGACGGACGAUACGCUUGCUUCUUUCAUGUUAGCCGCGGACGGGAGUGUAACACGUGGAUAACCUACCUAUAAGACUGGGAUAACUUCGGGAAACCGGCGCUAAUACCAUAUAAUCUUCUGAACCGCAUGGUUCAAUAGUGAAAGACGGUCUUGCUGUCACUUCUAGAUGGAUAUGCGCUGCAUUAGAUAGUUGGUAAGGUAACGGCUUAUCAAGGCAACGAUGCAUAGCCGACCUGAGAGGGGGGUCGGCCACACUGGAACUGAGACACGGUCCAGGCGCCUACGGGAGGCAGCAGUAGGGAAUCGUCCGCAAUGGGCGAAAGCCUGACGGAGCAACGCGGCGUGAGUGAUGAAGGUCUUCGGUUCGUAAAACUCUGUUAUUAGGGAAGAACAGAUGUGUAAGUAACUGUGCACAUCGUGACGGUAACUAGUCAGAAAGCCACGGCUAACUACGUG
rnacentral:rRNA from 1 species